UCCGGUUGAUCCUGCCAGAGGCUACUGCCAUCAGAGUUCGAUUAAGCCAUGUUAGUCGAGGGUGCUUCUUCUUCGGAAGAGGUAACCGGCAGACGGCUCAGUAACACGUGGACACUUACCCUUGGGACCGGGAUAACCCCUGGGAAACUGGGGCUAAUACCGGAUAGAGCAUCGGUUGCUGGAAUGCACGAUGGUCUAAAGCUGAGGCGCCCAAGGAUAGGUCUGCGGCCGAUUAGGUUGUUGUUGAUGUGACGGAUCAACAAGCCUACGAUCGGUACGGGUUGUGAGAGCAAUAGCCCGGAGAUGGGUUCUGAGAGAAGAACCCAGGUCCUACGGGACGCAUCAGGCGCGAAAACUUUACAAUGUGCGAAAGCACGAUAAGGGAACUCUGAGUGCCUCCUAAGGAGGCUGUUCGGGUGUCUAAAAAGCAUCCGAAGGAAGGGCUGGGUAAGACCGGUGCCAGCCGCCGCGGUAACACCGGCAGCCCAAGUGGUAGCCAUGCUUAUUGGGUCUAAAGCGUCCGUAGCCGGCCAAGUAAGUUCUUUGGGAAAUUUGACCGCUUAACGGUCAAGCUAUCAGGGAAUACUGCUUGGCUUGGGACCGGGAGAGGUCAGAGGUACUCCAAGGGUAGGGGUGAAAUCCGUUAAUCCUUGGGGGACCACCGGUAGCGAAGGCGUCUGACCAGACCGGGUCCGACGGUGAGGGACGAAGGCUUAGGGUCGCGAACCGGAUUAGAUACCCGGGUAGUCCUAGCUGUAAACGAUGCGGGCCAGGUGUUGGCAUUACUUGCGAGUGAUGCCAGUGCCGAAGGGAAGCCGUUAAGCCCGCCAUCUGGGGAGUACGGUCGCAAGGCUGAAACUUAAAGGAAUUUGGCGGGGGAGCACCACAACGGGUGGAGCUUGCGGUUCUAAUUGGUAUUCUUACGCCGGG
rnacentral:rRNA from 1 species